AGUGAACGCUGGCGGUAGGCCUAACACAUGCAAGUCGAACGGCAGCACAGUAAGAGCUUGCUCUUACGGGUGGCGAGUGGCGGACGGGUGAGGAAUACAUCGGAAUCUACUUUUUCGUGGGGGAUAACGUAGGGAAACUUACGCUAAUACCGCAUACGACCUACGGGUGAAAGCAGGGGAUCUUCGGACCUUGCGCGAUUGAAUGAGCCGAUGUCGGAUUAGCUAGUUGGCGGGGUAAAGGCCCACCAAGGCGACGAUCCGUAGCUGGUCUGAGAGGAUGAUUAGCCACACUGGAACUGAGACACGGUCCAGACUCCUACGGGAGGCAGCAGUGGGGAAUAUUGGACAAAGGGCGCAAGCCUGAUCCAGCCAUACCGCGUGGGUGAAGAAGGCCUUCGGGUUGUAAAGCCCUUUUGUUGGGAAAGAAAAGCAGCAGGUUAAUACCCCGCUGUUCUGACGGUACCCAAAGAAUAAGCACCGGCUAACUUCGUG
rnacentral:rRNA from 1 species